CUGGACAUGGCUAGGAUUAACUAUGGUGUCAUAUCUCUGAUCCCGAAAGUAGUUGGGGCUACAGAUAUUUGGCAGUUCCGCCCCAUCACGGUGAUCAACAUGCUGGAUCAAAUCUUUGUGAAGGUUUGCGCGACCCGUUUAUCCCCUGUGGCGGAAAGGAUUGCCCACCCCCUUCAGUCCGCGUUCUUGAAGGGCUGGCGGAUCCAUGACGGGAUUCUUGCCCUUCACGAGAUCGUCCACGAGGUGGCGUUGAAGGGGCUUAAGGGGGUCUUCCUCAAAUUGGACUUCCAGAAGGCAUAUGAUCAUCUGGACUCGUCCUUUUUGAGGUUG
rnacentral:rRNA from 1 species